rnacentral:rRNA from 1 species
CGGCAACGGAUAUCUCGGCUCUCGCAUCGAUGAAGAACGUAGCGAAAUGCGAUACUUGGUGUGAAUUGCAGAAUCCCGUGAACCAUCGAGUCUUUGAACGCAAGUUGCGCCCGAAGCCAUCAGGCCGAGGGCACGCCUGCCUGGGCGACACACGUCGUUGCCCCC